AAAAAUGCGAACGAAGAAAGCGCCAAGGUUUUUCUAUAUGAAUCCGUGAAACCUCCGCACGUGUUUUAAUCUCGAAGUCGAAUGAAUCGUCACUGCGAAAAACCGCGGCAGUUAUAUAUCUCUUGAUAUCCUCACGUCCUCGAUAAGGUGUUGAGGAUAAAUGCAGGUGAACGUUGAUGGAAUUGUUCAGUUUUAAACUAAGCACAGUUGAAGAAACGCGAUCGCUAUGCUUAUUAACGGUGUUAGUUUACCGCGAUCGGUUGCUCGGGUUUUCGCGAUUGGUGUUAUAAUCCUACUCGUCGGUUUCGAUCACCCGAAUGUAUAAGAAAGAAACGCGACAUUUCCAUCGGUGCAGAGCCGGAGAGUGAGGUACAACGUUCGAGGGAUUUAGAAAUCGGUGAUCCACGUUUCGGCUUUGCUAGUCUGAAUUCGGGAGCCGACCUAGGCUUAACAUUGACCCAAAAUGAGGAGGAAGAUUUGUUUAUGACACUGAGUCAACGUCUCUCGAGGGCUGCCAAGAACAAGAAUCAGACAAUGCGUAUGAUAAACGCAUUUGCGGCGAAAUGUUGCGGCGAAAAUCGCCACGAUGAAUGUAACGAUGCUGCGAACGUCAUUGCGUGUCCUUGAACUAGAAGACUCGCCUUUGUAUGUUCCUAUAUGUAUACAUAUGGUUUAUCCAUCCAUCGAAACUGGCUGAAUUCCUUAUCCUUGAAAAAAUUAAUAAUCUCAAAUAUGAAGUCAAUUUCUUUCGCGGGGUAUCCAAGUAUAUGAAAAGCGAAUAAUUACGUAUGAACACAGAGAUUUAUUAUUGGCAAAAGUUUGUGUUAUCAAAAAUUUUUAUCAGCGUUUGGGGGUCCGACUUAAUAAUAGUACUUGUACAAUUCAGGUAUAUUAUAUUAAUGUAUAAAAGGUAGGUACACGUUUUGCGUACAUUAUAAUAAUGAUGCGUGCAUAGUCAGGCUCCUGAUGUACCAAUUGUCUAUGAAUUGUUUCUUAAGAAUACGUCUCUAAAUUGUAUAUAAUAAUAUAGGUACUAGUUGUUUAUAGAUACAUCAUAUGGAAAUAAUAUUGGUAAAUUGAAAUUACUCUAUUAAAGUUAUUAGAAUUAUACGGUAUACGGUAUACAAUGAAUUGUAUAACUGUUAUAAUUACGUUAUAAUUAAUUAACCUAGGUAAAAUAAUUUAAUGAGAUCAUCAGUUGAUUAGAAUUAAAUGGGAGGCUGCAGUUGUACCGCAGUUGCACAUUAUGUCGCGCGCGAUGUCUUUUAGAAUAUAUUGAACUUAUUUUAUGGCUACACGCGCCGUUCGCUGCAUCAUAUGCAUAGUAUAAUGUGCGGUAUUCGGACACACUUGUAUGAUAUUUCUUCCUUUAUGAACUGCACCAUUUCUCAAAUCCGGACCGUCUGAAUAACCAGCGGGCUACUUCGCGCUUUACGUUUCUGCCACCGCAUACUUUUGUACGCUACGUCCUCUGUACACGUACAAGGUCAUCGCGAAGGUCGGCGAAGGUCCUUUUCGUGGCCCUGCAUUGCGCCAUCAACAUGCUCGAGGCUAAGCUCGGAUUUCAACGGGAAAAUGACGAUCGAGCCGAUCGGUUCGGGGGACGUUGUGCCGACUUGAAAGGCUGGCACUUUUGGAAUCACCGUUUCUCUUGAUACCUGAAACAAACAUGUUCGUGACCAUCAGGUGCUAUACAGUGCUAUCAUGUGCUAUACUUUGGGUGAAAAACAUGACACGGAAAUAUUUUCGUUGCGGGUGUUGUUAGUGCGGUUCUGGAAUAGUUUGUUAAAGCACCUUCCGCCAGCUCUU